GCUUAGACAGCUAGGAGGUUGGCUUAGAAGCAGCCACCCUCUAAAGAAAGCGUAAUAGCUCACUAGUCGAGUCGGCCUGCGCGGAAGAUGUAACGGGGCUCAAACCAUACACCGAAGCUACGGGUAUCACGUAAGUGAUGCGGUAGAGGAGCGUUCUGUAAGCCUGUGAAGGUGAGUUGAGAAGCUUGCUGGAGGUAUCAGAAGUGCGAAUGCUGACAUGAGUAACGACAAUGGGUGUGGAAAACACCCACGCCGAAAGACCAAGGUUUCCUGCGCAACGUUAAUCGACGCAGGGUUAGGCGGUCCCUAAGGCGAGGCUGAAAAGCGUAGUCGAUGGAAAACAGGUUAAUAUUCCUGUAC
rnacentral:rRNA from 1 species